GCCUGGGUGACUCAGUCGGUUGAGCGUCUGACUUCGGCUCAGGUCAUGAUCUCACGGUUCAUGGGUUCGAGCCCCACAUCGGGCU
rnacentral:tRNA from 1 species